AGAGAUUUAGUAUAUUUUAGUAUAGCUUAUUGUCUGUUAGCUGGUUUUGGUCUCUU
rnacentral:tRNA from 1 species